rnacentral:rRNA from 1 species
CGCGUAGGUAACCUACCCUUUAGCGGGGGAUAACCAGGAGAAAUUCUGGCUAAUACCGCAUACGUAGCAUGACAUGAAAAAUGCUAGAAAGAGUGCCUCUCCUUGGAAGCACUUACUAAAGGAUGGGCCUGCGUAGCAUUAGCUUGUUGGUGGGGUAAGUGGCCUACCAAGGCAACGAUGCUUAGCUGGUCUGAGAGGAUGAUCAGCCACACUGGAACUGAGACACGGUCCAGACUCCUACGGGAGGCAGCAGUGGGGAAUAUUGCGCAAUGGGCGAAAGCCUGACGCAGCAAUGCCGCG